GAGGGUGUCGACCAUAGCUCGUCAGGCUCAUAACCUGAAGGUCACAGGUUCAAAUCCUGUCCCCGCA
rnacentral:tRNA from 1 species